UACGUAGGGUGCAAGCGUUGUCCGGAAUUAUUGGGCGUAAAGAGCUCGUAGGCGGUCUGUCGCGUCGGCUGUGAAAACCCGGGGCUCAACCCCGGGCCUGCAGUCGAUACGGGCAGACUAGAGUGCGGUAGGGGAGACUGGAAUUCCUGGUGUAGCGGUGAAAUGCGCAGAUAUCAGGAGGAACACCGGUGGCGAAGGCGGUUCUCUGGGCCUUACCUGACACUGAGGAGCGAAAGCGUGGGGAGCGAACAGG
rnacentral:rRNA from 1 species